AUAGUACCAAGCUUAUCCCAGGCUCAGUACUAUCAUAGUCUGGCCCUCGGCUCAUGACUAUCACAGUUUGGCUCUCAGCUUACGACUCUCAUAGUCUGGUAUUUUCUUCCCCUCUUCCAUCUUCCUUAUACUACCCUGAGAUACCAACUCCUAUACUACAUAUGAUAACUAUUUUUCCUAACUAUUCAUCCAUUCUACCUGUUGAAUCACUUUUUUAGCAGUUAUCCAUCCCUGUUUAUACUAUAUACUAGGUAUCUACAUUCUGAAAAUAACUACUUAUUCUAUAUAGCCCCAUUCCUAACUUUGCAGCAUCC
rnacentral:lncRNA from 1 species